UUUGCUUUUACUAUCACUUUACUCUUGAAUUUUUUGUUAAUUUUUGUCAACUUUCUUUGAAUAAACGUUGUUAUCGUUGUAGAAGUUGUCAGUUCCAGAUUGGCGUUUACUAAAGAUCAGCCAAAUCCAUCUGCACUUUCUAGAUCUAGAUGGAACUUUUUCUCUUCGAAACAAUUUUUUUGCGUCAUUGAUUGAGCUCCAAAACGAAUUUUCUGCGGCCUUUAAUAUUGCCGGGUGACAACAUUGGUUAAAGUAAAGCUUCAUUUACUUGAGCUUGAGACUUCAGUUGCCACGAAGACUUGAAACUUUUCGAUGCACUACGAGUCAAACCACAGCUUGACAAUACAGAAACUAUGGAUGGCCAGCGAUGGCCAGUAUAAUUUGUACCGUAAUUCUUGCUAUCGUUGAUAUAAUUUUGAUUUAAAUGGUUACUCCAGUUUAUUUCUUUUACAAUUUGAUGAAUUGACAACGGUGUAAAUCUUUAAGAAACUUCAAUAAGUUUCGAGUUCAAAUGACCCGUGACAAAACAUCACAAAAAUAGUGCUUUUGGAAGUUCAAAAUUCAAUAUCUCAAAAACUUGGCACUUUAGAGCCAUUCUAACGCUAGCUUCGAAUUCAGAAGGUCAUCAGAAGGCCAUAAGAAGAAUAUAAUUUGGUUUCUAAGGAAUAAUAUUUCUUGUCAUUAUUACUGUAGGUAAUUUACGGAGAAAUCGAUCUUAAAAAUCGUUUUUUUUUUCAGAAUAACAGUGUAGUUUUUCUACAUAGUCUUGAAUAAAAGGUUUUAAUCUAUA